rnacentral:rRNA from 1 species
CGGCCGCGUCGACCAUGGCUCAGAUUGAACGCUGGCGGCAGGCUUAACACAUGCAAGUCGAACGAUGACUCUCUAGCUUGCUAGAGAUGAUUAGUGGCGGACGGGUGAGUAACAUUUAAGAAUCUACCUAGUAGUGGGGGAUAGCUCGGGGAAACUCGAAUUAAUACCGCAUACGACCUACGGGUGAAAGGGGGCGCAAGCUCUUGCUAUUAGAUGAGCCUAAAUCAGAUUAGCUAGUUGGUGGGGUAAAGGCCCACCAAGGCGACGAUCUGUAACUGGUCUGAGAGGAUGAUCAGUCACACCGGAACUGAGACACGGUCCGGACUCCUACGGGAGGCAGCAGUGGGGAAUAUUGGACAAUGAGGGCGUCGACGCGGCCG